rnacentral:snRNA from 1 species
AGAUUUGAGAGCAAUCUGGCCACAACAUCUGUCAUGACACUGCUCUCCAGGGCGGAUUCAGUUGAUCUGGCUGGCUGGGCAGCCUUCCGCCUUCUUCCUCCCUCGCCGCUCUGGGUGCCUCUGCUGAAGAUGCCAAGGGAAGACUUGGGCAUGGAGGAGAACCAGCCUCCAGUCAGGGGCAUUCAAGUAGCUGCUUUCCUCCAUGAGAGCCUCCACUGAGCUCUCAAGGUACGUGUGACUUCACCAUUGCCUCUCUUGGGGUACACUUAAAAAGUUUUUGUUUGGUUUGUUUUUUUCAGACAGGGUUUCUCU